rnacentral:lncRNA from 10 species
AUAAUGUUUUAGAAAAGAACUAAGGUUGCAAAAUGCAGAAGGACAAGGGACAAGGGGAUUGCAAAUACAUGCAACAGAAUGAUUAUAAUGAUAGCUCAUAGAAACCAAAGCAGGUAAUGAGAAGAAUGAAGACAUAAUGGAAAUGACAAUCAGCAGCAAGUCAAAGGAUUGAAGGAAGUUCAGACACAGUCAAGUUAACCUGGUCCUCUCCUCUGCAGAAAAGGUGGGUCCCCGACAAAACCCCACCCUCAAGUCUGAAACCAUGACCCAAAGUGAGAACUUACACCUCUGCUUUACUGUUCUACUGUUGCCUUUUUCCUAAACCAUCCAUGACCCCUCCUCCCAUCCUGUGCCUGUAAAAACUGGCAGAGAGGAAGGUAGCUGGACAUUGAAGCCUACGGUUGGAUGUCAGAGAGAAGCGGCUUGACUCUAGAAAGACAGCUUGGUGGCAUAACUUCGGAGAAGAAUCUGGUCAGAGAUGGUCGGAAUUCAGGGGAAGAUGAUCAUCCUGCCCCAUCCCCUUUUCAGCUCCCCUUCCCAUUGAAAGCCACUUUUAUCAGCCAUAAAAUCACCUGAAUUUACCAUCCUUCAAUUCAUGCAACCUAAUUUCUCUUGGACUCCGGACAAGAGCUCGGGAGACCCAAGUAUGGAUACAAAAGGCAGAGGGCCCAUUGAGCUGUUAACAUUUAAGCAGUCCACGGAUGGCAGAGCAAAAAAAGCACUGUAACACUCCCUCUGGGGCUUCCGGGGUUGCAGGCACCUCCCCCAGAUGCUACCGCGGGGCCUGCACGGAGUUUGCUCCUGCCGCCGCCCAAAAAUGCUUGCCCUGACUCCUGCAAUGGCUCACCUGUGCAGCAGGUCCCAGUGAGUGGAGUUCGGCCCUGCUGGCGUUGAAACAGCUGGCUGCUUCCAGCGUUCAUGCACUCCAGUUUCACGAGGAGUUGAAAACUGCAGUCUAGGUAAAUGAGACACCCUUAUUGAGAGUCCUGUGAAGGGGUCAGAGAAAUAUAAUAUCCUUUAUCACAUAGGCUAUACAUAUAUAUACAUACACAGUCAUGUACUACAUAAUGACAUUUUGUCAGUGACAUAUUGCAUAUAUGAUGAGAGAUAUUAUUAUGGUGCUGCCCUAUAUACUGUCAUGUUUAUCUUUAUAACAUAUUUUUACUGUACUUUUUCUAUAUUUAAUAUACAGAUAAAAUUGUGUUAUAGUUGCCUACAGUAUUCAGUACAGUAACAAGCUGAAUAGGUUUGUAGCCUAAAAGCAAAAACUAUACCAUAUACCCUGGAUGUGCAGUAGACUACACUAUCUAUACCUAUACAUAUACUAGAUUUGUAUAAGUACACUCUGUGAUGUUCAAACAAUGACAAAAUCACCUAAGGACACAAUUUUCAGAACAUAUCCCUAUUGUUAAGUGAUACAUGACUACACACACACACACACACACACACACACACAUACAUAUGGAGAGAGAGAGAGAGAGUUAUCAUGGAAUUUAUUUCUUAUGAGAGAAAGAAUUGGUUCACACUAUUUUGGAGGCUGACCUCAAGGGUGAGUUGAUAAGCUGAGGUCCCAGGAAAGCCAAUGAUUUAAUGUUCAACCUGAAGGCCAGCAGCCUCAAAAUCUAAGAUCCAAUGUUUCAGUGGGAUCUGUGGUGGGAAAAACACUGAUGUUCCAAUUUGAAGGCAGUCAGGCAGAAUAAAUUCCUUCUUGUUUAAGGGAGGGUCAUCCUUUUGGUUUCAUUCAGACCUUCAGCAGAUUGAAUGAGGCCCACCCACAUCAGAGAGAGCAAGUGAGCUGCUUUACUCAGUCUACUGACUUAAAUGUUAAUGUCACCCAAAAACACCUCCACAGCAAUACCCAGAAUAUGUAUCACCAAAUACCUGGGCACAUAUUGGCCAAGUCAAGUUGCUCUAUAAAAUUAACAUUACAGUCCCCUAAGACUAACUUUAUAGAUUUUUGAAAUUUGUAUUUUCUUUUGGUUAUUAACUAUUUUUUAACCCUUAAAUGUGUUAAUUACGGACCUUUAUGUUAGACAUAUUAAUAUCAUUAAAUCAUUUCACAUCUUCACUCUCAUCCAACUCAUUUAAAAUUAUAUUUACAGAGUUUAGUUUUUAAAGAUCUUUAAGAUAUUUUAAUGAUACAUUUAAAAUUCAGACAUUGUUUUUAUAACUUCAUUUUUUUCUAGUUAAAAUCUAGGAUACUUGUUCAAAUCAUUCUAAAAUUUUGGUCCCCAUAAGUCACUAAUUUCAGGUUAUAGUGAUCUCAUUUUCAUUGGAUUUUUACCAGAUAAUUAACUUUUGUUAUUAAAAAUUGGUCUAGUGUAAUAGUAGCCCUUGUUUUUUCAAUAUUAUGGAAAAUACAAAAAGCAUCAGAAAUAUACUAAUUAUUCAGACCACUCUAGCAGUUUGUGUUUUUCCACUGUUAUUUCCUAUUCCUGUUCUAAUUUGGUGAGCUUCAUUAAAAACACAUUACUCAUUUCAGUUCAUUUUACCCAUUUACAGGUGUUUGCCCAUUAUGUUAUGAUCUUGCUCCUAAUUCUAGUCUCCCCCUCCCUCUCUCUCUCUCUCUCUUGUUAACCAACGUCUCUCUUUUUCCCUCCUAAAUCAAAAAUAUCCAUGGGGACAAAAUUUCUUUCUGUUUUUGGAGGGGACAAAUCUACAUCCAAAAGAAGGAGCACCCUUGUUAUUUCUGUCCUGGCAAUUUUAUUCUGCUGCGCAUAUACCAUCUGUUCAGUAUCCGGUAUUGCAUAUAGCACACUUUCAAUUCGCUUGUAAGUUUUUGUUUGUUUCUUUUGGCUGUCUUAGCUUAUAGCCAUGAUUUCACUCUAAAAAUGUUGAUUGGCAGGUACUAUUUCUUUUUCACCAGUGUGUUCCUGGUUCCAAGAAAAGUGCAGGAACAUAUAGUGGAAUCUCAGUAUAAACUUGUUGAAAGAAUGGAUGAUGCUUCCAUCAUGUUUUGGCUGUGACUAUAGGAUUAGAUUUGUCUCUGGAAUUUUCAUUUUAGCAUAUGUGUUGACUAUACUUCAUGCAUUUAUUAGAGAUAACAUAUGGUGACCUGGAUCAUAAUCCCCUUUUUAUAUUAAUAAAAUCCAGAUUUAUAACAAAGUAGUGGAGGGAAAGAGGCUAUAAUAAAGAGAUAGGAGACAGAGAUAACUCAUUUCUCCAAUACAAGCAAGUCAUCUGUGGGAAGAGGAGUGGGAUGUUCCUAGUUUAUAGUCCUUUAGUGAUAAGGCAUGCAGUCAGCCCUCUGUAUCGCCACGUUCGGCACAGUGGAUUUAGCCAAUGACAGAUGGAAAAUAUUUUUUAAUCUCGAUAAAAAAUAAUACAACAAUUAAAAAUAUUAAAAAUAAAAGCAAUACCAUACAACAACUAUUCACAUAACUUUUACAAUGUGUUAAGUGUUAUAAGUAAUCUAGAGAUGAUUUAAAGAAUAUAGGAGGAUGUGCAUAGUUAUAUGGAAGUACUGUGCCAUUUUAUGUCAGGCACUGGAGCAUCUUUAGAUUUGGGUAUCCCAAAGUUUCCUGGAACCAGUCCCCCAUGGAUAUAUAGGGAACACUGUACAAAAAAAUGGUUCCAGGUUUCUUCCCGCUUUGAAAUGUAAACAUGUCUGUCCAGAGAUAACUCUGUAUUUCUCUGGAGGUUUUUAUCUAUUCAAUUAUCCCUUAACUUCCAAGAUUUUUCUUUUAGUGCAGGUUUUUGUGCAAAGUUGCUUUGGCCACUCCAGGUCUUUCAGAUUUUCAAAUACUUGUUUAGAAUUAGCUUGAGAACUUAAAUAGCAACAAAGCCUUGAUGGGUUUAGAGAUUGCAUUGAAUUUAUCAGCCAAUCUAGUUGGGGGGUGGGGGUGGGGAUUGAAUGUUAACAAUAUUGAGACUUCUUGAUCUAUGACCAAGGUAUCUCUUUCCAUUUCUUUGGGCCUCCUUUAAUUUCAUUCAGUAACGUUUUGUAGUUUUCACUGGACAGGUAAUGCACAUGUUCAGUCAAAUUUAUCCCUAAACAUUUAACAUUUUGAAGCUAUAAUAAAUAAAUUUUAAAUAAAAUAAUUCUGAUUAUUCAUUGCUAAUAUUUAGAAAUACAAUGGAUUAUUGUAUAUUGGUCUUGUGUUCUGUAAACUUUCUAAAAUCACUGGUUAGUUCUAAUAGCAUUGCUUUUUAUUUCCUUUUAAAGAUUUUAUCAAGUUCCAUCAGAUUUUCUUUAUAGACAAUUAUGCUUUCCACAAAUAAGACAGUAAGACAAUUUUCCUUUUUGCAUAAAUCUAGAUGCCAUUUAUUUCUUUUCCUUGCUUUUGUUCAUUGGCUAAAAUAUCCAGUACAUGUUGAAAUGAAUAUCCCUCUAUUGUUCCUGAUCUUAGUUGGACAGCAUUUAGCAUCAAUUUCACCAUUAAUUAUUAAUGUUGGAUGUAUAUUUUGCAUACAUUCAUGUAUUAAUUGCUUGUUACUCCUGUAACAAACUACCACACACUUAUUCACUUAAAACAGUACAAAUGUAUUAUCUUAUAGUUGUGAAGAUCAAAAGUCCUAAAUGACUCUCAUUGCGUUAAAAAACAAGGAGUCAUCAGGACCCAAAGCUCCCAUGCCCUCCUGAGGCACAUCCCCCUCCAGGAACUGAACGAAGGAUGUGUUCUGCUAUCCAGCAACUCUCCAAACCCAGUCCUUUUUGUUUUCUAUGGAGGUCUCAUUACAAGCAUGAUUGAUUAAAUCAUUGACCAUUGGUGAUCAACUCGAUCUUCAGUGCCAAUCUUCUCCCCAGAGUUUUAGUGUGGGGCUGAAAGUUCUAACCCUCUAAUAAUGCCUCAUUCUUUCUGGUGACCACCUCUCAUCCUGAAUCUGUCUAAGGGCCCCCAGCCACCAAUAAACUCAGUAGCAUACAAAAAGAGAAACAGGGACUGAGAUCAAAUAUAUAUUUCACAAAUAACAGUUAAUGUUAACAUGGUUAAUUAUAUUUUAUUAUUUUGAAUGUAAAACAACUUUGUGUUUCCAAGAUAAUAAUUAUGGUGAAAUAUUCUUUUUAUAUAUUUUUGGAUUCUAUUUGCUAAACGUUAAAGUUUUUUUGCAUCUAUAUUCAUAUAACAUACUGAACUAUAACUUGCGUUUCUCACAAUAUGUUAGAAUAAUGUGGUUCUCAUAGAAUGAGUUUCGUUCUCUUCAAUUUUCUGAGUUUCUGUAGAAUUGCCAUUAUUUCUUCUUUAAAUAU